GAUGAACGCUGGCGGCGUGCCUAAUACAUGCAAGUCGAGCGAACGGACGAUAAGCUUGCUUCUCUGAUGUUAGCGGCGGACGGGUGAGUAACACGUGGAUCACCUACCUAUAAUACUUGGAUAACUUCGGGAAACCGGAGCUAAUACCGGCUGAUAUUUUGAACCGCAUGGUUCAAAAGUUAUAGACGGUCUUGCUGUUACUUAUAGAUGGAUCCGCGCUGCAUUAGCUAGUUGGUAAGGUAACGGCUUACCAAGGCAACGAUGCAUAGCCGACCUGAGAGGGUGAGCGGCCACACUGGAACUGAGACACGGUCCAGACUCCUACGGGAGGCAGCAGUAGGGAAUAUUCCGCAAUGGGCGAAAGCCUGACGGAGCAACGCCGCGUGAGUGAUGAAGGUCUUCGGAUCGUAAAACUCUGUUAUUAGGGAAGAAAAUAUGUGUAAGAAACUGUGGACAUCUUGACGGUACCUAAUCAGAAAGCCACGGCUAACUGCGUG
rnacentral:rRNA from 1 species